UACAGAGGUCUCAAGCGUUGUUCGGAUUCAUUGGGCGUAAAGAGCUCGUAGGCGGCUAUUCAAGUCGAACGUGAAAUCUCGGAGCUCAACUCCGAAACUGCGUUCGAUACUGGGUAGCUAGAGUCUGGUAGGGGGAUCUGGAAUUCCUGGUGUAGCGGUGGAAUGCGCAGAUAUCAGGAGGAACACCGGUGGCGAAGGCGGGAUCCUGGGCCAGUACUGACGCUGAGGAGCGAAAGCGUGGGGAGCAAACAGG
rnacentral:rRNA from 1 species